rnacentral:lncRNA from 12 species
AUGCGUAUAAAUAGACACAUGUUAAAGUGUGGGGCUGCUACAUUCCCUCAAUGGAUCACAGAGUUAAACACAAGUAAUCCAUUAACCACCAAAAAUUCACAGUUUGAGGACCAACUUCACAAUCAAGCCGUAGUAUGCAUUGUAAGUAGGCGAGAGCCAAGCCUUUGUUUUACCUACUAUUGGCCUUUUCCUCCAGCAGAUCCUUUUCAUCAUUCUCCAAAGGCCCAAAUGAUUGGGUCUCCUCUCAGUGUCUCAUGGAGCAGCAUUUGAACAAUACUAAGCUUGGGCUGGAGGGUCUUGGGCUGGAGGCCCCAAGGACUGACAGUAAAUGCAAAAUGUAUUUCUGUUCUCAUCUGAUAAUGGCAGAGAUUCCAAUUCACCACUUCUCUCCUAAAAACUUUAUGCUCAGAUAUUCUCUUUCCUGUCAGUUUUCCUCAUAUAAACAAAAGCCUGGGGCCAGCGAGCACUGGGUUAGCAAGUGAGGCAUGGUGGUUGUAGAGAUACCCUGGAGCAGCAGAGUAGCGGGAUUCUGAUGGGAAACUGCACUCCUUCUGGUCAGUAUAGUUCCUUUUAGUAACCUAAAUGCACUAAACAAAUAGUAAAAUAAAUAAAUAAAUAAAAAUAGAGAGAAGAGGGAU